rfam:Ornithorhynchus anatinus chromosome 4, whole genome shotgun sequence.
CCCCUCUCAGGAUCGCACCUGAAGAGUUUCCAGUACUCUACCAGUCUCGGCUAUGGGAGGGAGAGUGGAACAGAGUCCUACCCAUUCCAUUCCUAGCUUGGGCAGAGGCUAGUGAGUGGAAGGCAAUCUGCUACAAGU